GAUGAACGCUAGCUACAGGCUUAACACAUGCAAGUCGAGGGGAAACGACAUCGAAAGCUUGCUUUUGAUGGGCGUCGACCGGCGCACGGGUGAGUAACGCGUAUCCAACCUGCCCAUCACUUGGGAAUAACCUUGCGAAAGUAAGACUAAUGCCCAAUGAUAUCCCACGAAGGCAUCCGAAUGGGAUUAAAGAUUUAUCGGUGAUGGAUGGGGAUGCGUCUGAUUAGCUUGUGGGCGGGGUAACGGCCCACCAAGGCGACGAUCAGUAGGGGUGCUGAGAGGAAGGUCCCCACAUUGGAACUGAGACACGGUCCAAACUCCUACGGGAGGCAGCAGUGAGGAAUAUUGGUCAAUGGGCGAGAGCCUGAACCAGCCAAGUAGCGUGCAGGAUGACGGCCCUAUGGGUUGUAAACUGCUUUUAUAAGGGAAUAAAGUGAGUCUCGUGAGACUUUUUGCACGUACCUUAUGAAUAAGGACCGGCUAAUUCCGUGCCAGCCGCCGCCGUAA
rnacentral:rRNA from 1 species